GGCAUAUUGAGAUCACUUGUACAGUUAUGACUGCUCUUCCCCUUCUAUAAUCUUCUAAACUUCUGUGAAGUUAGGUUCUUUGCAACAUUUUUUUAUUUCUUAAAACAUAGUGCCCUUUUGCUCAAUCAGCAGAACUCAUGAUUUUGCAGCUUUCAGUUGCUUUAUGUUACAUAAAUAUUUCCUGCAGAGUUUUGAGCUCUCCAUAUUUGGUUAAAUGUCAUAAUAAACAUAUUUCUUUGUAA
rnacentral:misc_RNA from 1 species